GGGGCCAUAGCUCAGUGGAGGAGCAUCGGCCUUGCAUGCAGAAGGCCCCAGGUUCAAUCCCUGUCACCUCCA